AAGCCACCAGGAGAUUCGAACUCGCGACCCUGGUUUACGAGACCAGUGCUUACCUCUGAGCUAUGUGGCG